rnacentral:lncRNA from 1 species
CGAGCAGUGGGGAUUAAGAGGAAAAUAAUAGUAGAGAACAAAAUCAGAGCUUGGCAUGGCUCUCUGCUGGCACCGUGCAGGGUGUGAUUACAUCAGAUCUGUGCAACUCAGAUCUUGGGGAGGGGUUGGGGGGUGGAAGGUGGAGGGAGGAAGGGAGAGAAAACAGAGGGCGGGAAGAAGGGAAGGAAGUGAAGAAGGGAAUGAGGGACGGAAAGAGAGAGACAGCGAAGAGAGGAGAAAGAGUUUCAGAAUUUGGCAAAAGUCUCAAGGCUCAAGCUGGUUGUCUGAAGCCUUUCAAACCCCCAGUUUUAUCACCACAUAUGAGGCCAGUGAAGGAGUGUGGCUCCGAUAGGAUUGACAACUACUACCUUAGAUGAUGAAUCAAGCUCAGAAGGGAUCCCUCUGGAUUUCCCUGCGCCAUGUAAGAAGUGCCUGCUUUCCCUUUGCCUUCUGCUAUGAUUGUUUCCUGAGGCCUCCCCAGUCAUGUUACCUGUACAGCCUGCAGAACUGUGAAGAAACCGAGGCAAUGAACAAAGUAAUAUACCCAAGAUCACAUUGCCAGUGAAUGGGAGAGCUGACGUUUCAAUCUACACAGAACCUGUGCUCUUAGCUAUCUAACCGCUUUACUUGGAAGUGAUGUGAGAUUAAAAAAAGAAGAAAAACAAAAUAUUUUCUUAUGCUUUCAAAAAGUUCAAAAGUAAGUUACAAGAUUUAUGCUGCAUUUUAAUCUAUGAUCUUGAUUACUCAUCAAUUGGAUUAUGUACCCACUUUUUUUUUUUUUUUUUUUUUGAGAUGGAGUCUCACUCUGUCUCCCAGGCUGGAGUGGAGUGCAGUGGUGUGAUCUUGGCUCACUGCAACCUCCACCUCUCUGGUUCAAGCAAUUCUCCCACCUCAGCCUCCCAAGUGGCUGGGGUUACAGGCCCACACCACCACGCCCAGCUAAUUUUUGUAUUUUUAGUAGAGACAGGGUUUUGCCAUGUUGGUUAGGCUGGUUUCAAUCUCCUGACCUCAGGUGAUCCUCCCACCUCAGCCUCCCAAAGUGCUAGGAUUCCAGUCAUAAGCCACUGUGCCCGGCCUGUAUUCACUAUUUAUUUUUAUUUUUUGAAAUUUUUGUGGGUACCCAGUAGGUGUAUACAUAUAUAUAUUUUAACUCUUGAAAAUUUUUGAAUAUUCACUAUUUUAUAACUCCAUACAAGUAUUUUAAACUAAUUUUCUGGUUUUUCUAGUUAUUAAUUUUUUUACCUUAACUCAAAUAAAGAAUAAUUUAAAAGGUGAAGUGUUACAAGUUAAGAGACUCAAGUUCUAGUCUUGGCUUUGCCAUGAAAUUACUGUGUGAAUUUGGUCUAGGCUUUGGUUUCCUCAUGUUUGUUAGCAUGUUCCUCUCUUUAGCUAAAACAGUUCAGUGUAUGUAAAGUGUCAUUCUAUGAACUGAAGAGAUCCUGCCUGUUGAGUUGCAGAUGGCUGGGCAGGUUGCCAAGGGGCUGGUUUCUCCAUGCUGGCUUUUGUGUCUGCAUGCUACAGUUCCCCCCGCACGUCUUGACUACUCACCAGCACAAGAUAUCACACAGACAUGCUUGAGCUGGCCAGGAUCCAGGAUGAUAUUUAGAAAGAAGAGAAUAAAAGCUUAAGGAUGAUCAAGUCCUCUUAAGUAAUAUUAAACAAAAGCAUACUAUUUUCCUUCUAAUUUCCUCUCAAGGCACUUCUCAUGUUAGCAAAGAAAAUGACAAGAUGAGUGUCAGCCUGUCAUAUUUUCUGAUGUAAUGUAUGGGCUAGUAGCUCAUCACAAAAUCAACCAUUUUAUAGGAACUAGAUAAGUUUCAGUGCCAAGCCUUGUUCUCAAGCAGCAGGAUGCCUGCUAAGCAGGGUCCAUAUAAGCUAGAGUUUUGAAAUUAUAGUGAUAUUUUUAUUUUAAGGCAUUCAAGAGCAAAAGCAAAUAGUGGAAGGUUCUCAUUCAUCAAAUGCAAUGACCUUAUUGUUUAGAAAAAAUAAGAUGUGACUAUUACCAAAAAUGCUAUUUUAAAAGUAUAAUCACCUUCUUUUCAGUCUGCCAUGAAAAUUCAUGGAGACCAAAAAUGAUUAAUACAUUAUUUUGUAACUUGCUACCCAAAACAGGGUGGUUUGUUUUCCAAAUUUUGUAUUCUUUGCAUAUUUAAAGUUACUUACUGAGAGUUUUCCAUGUGUAAGGAAUUGAAGGAACAAACUCACAAUCUCUGUUACAAGAUUUAAAAGAAAUUUUUGGAGGCACAUGAACAUCUGCAAUUUCAUUUGUAAAGUAUCCAAGAAUCUGUCGCCUUAGUAACAAUCAAAUGCAUUAAAUGCUAAACGCUGAUUAAAUAGAGUUGAAAAUGGAUUUGUUAGUUAUCCCUCUAAGAAUUUUAACUCCAGCCGCUAGCCCUCUCCUCCCCUUUGCAAUGCAACUAUGCCUUCAAAUAGUGUUCUUUAAAAGGAGGCUUUACGGCUUUGGAGGAAUAAGCUGAUUUCACAGCCAGUUUUGCCACUGCUGUGGAAAACAGAGUACACAUGCAAGACUGCUGAAGUCAUACAAACUGCAAGGAUUAUGGCUGUGGGGGCCUCCACAACUCCUGUCAAACUGCAAUUGGAAACAGCUUCUCCAAAGGACAACAUGAGAAAUCAGGAAUUCUUGUCCAUGGCUCCCCAACCUGCUGGGUUUCUAAUCAGGCCUGGCAUGACCCAUUAGAGAUCAGACAUAGGAAAAUCACAAUGAAACUAGGGUAUCUUCUGUUUUCCAAGCUUCACUCCCCCAGAUCCUUUUCAAGCCUGUAAUUAUUGUCUCUCACCAGUUAAUAAGGGAACCGUUUCUCCAUGGGGACAGGAGCUUCUGGAAGGCUGGACCCAAUCAUUACAGGCUCAGUCCAGGGCCUUUCCUUCACACCAACUACUGCAGCCACUCCCAGAGCCCCUGGAACUCCGGCCCAAGGCUCUCUGACUGACUCCUUCCCAGAUCUUCUCGGCUUAGCAGCUGAAGACUGACACUGCCCGAUCACCUCGGAAGCCCCCUAGACCAUCACGGACGCCGAGCUGCCAGUAACUCUCACAGUGGAAGGUAAGCCCAUCCCCUUCUUAAUCAAUACGGAGGCUACCCACUCCACAUUACCUUCUUUACAAAGGCCUGUUUCCCUUGCCUCCAUAACUGUUGUGGGUAUUGACGGCCAGGCUUCUAAAUCUCUUAAAACUCCCCAACUCUGGUGCCAACUUAGACAAUACUCUUUUAAGCACUCCUUUUUAGUUAUCCCCACCUGCCCAGUUCCCUUAUUAGGCCGAGACACUUUAACUAAAUUAUCUGCUUCCCUGACUAUUCCUGGGCUACAGCCACACCUCAUUACUGCCCUUCUUCCCAAUCCAAAGCCUCCUUUGCGUCCUCCUCUUGUAUCCCCCUACCUUAACCCACAAGUAUAAGAUACCUCUACUCCCUCCUUGGUGACCGAUCAUGCACCCCUUACCAUCUCAUUGAAACCUAAUCACCCUUACCCCGCUCAACGCCAAUAUCCCAUCCCACAGCAUGCUUUGAAAAGACUAAAGCCUGUUAUCACUCUCCUGCUACAGCAUGGCCUUUUAAAGCCUAUAAACUCUCCUUACAAUUCCCCCAUUUCACUUGUCCUAAAACCAGACAAGCCUUACAAGUUAGUUCAGGAUCUAUGCCUUAUCAACCACAUUGUUUUGCCUAUCCACCCCAUGGUGUCAAACCCAUAUACUCUCCUAUCCUCAAUACCUCACUCCAUAAUCCAUUAUUGUGUUCUGGAUCUCAAACAUGCUUUCUUUACUAUUCCUUUGCACCCUUCAUCCCAGCCUCUUUUCACUUUCACUUGGACUGACCCUGACACCCAUCAGGCUCAGCAAAUUACCUGGGCUGUACUGCCCCAAAGCUUCACAGACAGCCCCCA